rnacentral:rRNA from 1 species
GACGAACGCUGGCGGCGUGCUUAACACAUGCAAGUCGAACGGAAAGGCCCUGCUUUUGUGGGGUGCUCGAGUGGCGAACGGGUGAGUAACACGUGAGUAACCUGCCCUUGACUUUGGGAUAACUUCAGGAAACUGGGGCUAAUACCGGAUAGGAGCUCCUGCUGCAUGGUGGGGGUUGGAAAGUUUCGGCGGCUGGGGAUGGACUCGCGGCUUAUCAGCUUGUUGGUGGGGUAGUGGCUUACCAAGGCUUUGACGGGUAGCCGGCCUGAGAGGGUGACCGGCCACAGUGGGACUGAGAUACGGCCCAGACUGCUACGGGAGGCAGCAGUGGGGAAUAUUGCACAAUGGGAGGAAGCCUGAUGCAGCAACGCCGCGUGCGGGAUGACGGCCUUCGGGUUGUAAACCGCUUUCGCCUGUGACGAAGCGUGAGUGACGGUAAUGGGUAAAGAAGCACCGGCUAACUACGUG